CACUAUGCCUAGCCCUAAACAUCGAUGGCCUAAUACUUGAGCCAUCCGCCAGGGAACUACGAGCAUUAGCUUAAAACCCAAAGGACUUGGCGGUGCUUUAGAUCCACCUAGAGGAGCCUGUUCUAGAACCGAUAACCCCCGUUCAACCUCACCUUUCCUUGUUUAACCCGCCUAUAUACCACCGUCGUCAGCUUAUCCUGUGAAGGACUUUUAAUAAGCAAAAUUGGUAAAACCUAAAACGUCAGGUCGAGGUGUAGCGUACGGAAAGGGAAGCAAUGGGCUACAUUCCCUACAUUAGGUAACUACGAACGAUAAAUUGAAAAAUCUAUCUGAAGGAGGAUUUAGUAGUAAGAAAGGAAUAGAGAGCCUUCCUGAAACUGGCCCUGAAGCGCGCACACACCGCCCGUCACUCUCCCCAAGCUCCGACCACCUUAAUAACUAAAAAAUUAACUCUGCUAAGGGGAGGCAAGUCGUAA
rnacentral:rRNA from 2 species